AUUUUCUGUUAAGUAAUCAUGGAAACUGCCAACCUAUUGCCAACUGAGCCCACUUUAUUGAUCGAAAGCCACGAAUUGCCUUGUUUGAUUUGUAACUCUGGAACAUCAAUUCAGAACAGUUACAGUAUUUUUAUACGGUUUACCCAACAAGGGAACUUUGCUGUGCAACAGCAUACAGAAAGUGAUUAAACGCGCAAUCGAUCCAGAUGUCAUCAGGAGCACUGUCCUUUGUAGCAGAUGCUUCUCAUUGUUCGAUGAAUUAGAGGUUUGUGAAGAUAGAUGUUUUCAGCUACGCCAAAAUAUUAUAUCAUGGUUCAAUACAUCUUGCCAAAUUUAUGGUGAUGUAAAUUCGUUCGUCACGGAUGGAGUUGCCUGUCAGACAGAUCCCAUUACAAGCGACAUUGUAGAUAUACCUGUUCAAACCCUUCCGAACCCACCUCCAGGAUGCAAUCCCAUCCCACCAUCUCAAUCAACCGAAGUCGCUGUGUAUGAGUCAUUCAAUGUUGAAAACUCGAACUCAUCAAUUCUAUCCAACAAUGACGCAAGUAGCCCAAAAGAAUACGGAAAUGAGGAAUUUGUGGAAGACCCAAAAAUCGUCAAGCAAUCAGAAAUGAUCGUGCCUGUAACGAAAGAAGCAAUGCGCCGUCUUCGGCGGUAUCGGCACCAGUGUCAUCACUGUAACCGAAUGUUCAGACGCCCAAGCGAACUUAAAAAACAUGUAGCUACACACACAGAUUCUAAACCAUUUACUUGUGGCAAAUGUCACAGAAAGUUUGCCUCAAACAAGGCAUAUUAUUCAUUUAUCAAGAACCCAUAAUAUUGAAGCCUCAGAGGAUUCUUCUGCAAUUGAAGCAUUGAGUGACUCGCAGAGAGAUGAAUCUGGGAAAAAUCCUGAGGAUUUUGUUCUAGCUGUUAUUGGUGAGAACUCCAUAGCCACCAAAUCUUUGAACGCAAAUGAAUUUGAUGGCAACGAUGACUCAUCUGACCUCCUCAAUUCAACUGCUGAUGAUUACGAUGGUGAUUUCGAAUGGGAAGAGGGAUUUUCCGCCAAAACUUCAGAGCAUCAGCUGGAGUUAGAACCCGCUCCAAAUCACUUAUCAGAAUCUGGUGAGUUAGUCUCAUUAUAUUUUAAUAUCUUGAUUGCCUGCCAAAUCUUUUUUGCUUAUAGGUUCCUUUGAGUACCUUUGAGUGAAGAAACCCUAUCUGAGAAAUGAAAAAAUGUUACGCUAAACAAUUGCUUCCUUAAAUGACAGCAAACUCUCAGUUGAGCUCAUGUCUCGCAACUCAAGAUUAGAUCGGCCUGCAGAUGCUAUACUU
rnacentral:lncRNA from 1 species